AUAUCCAUCCAACAAUCUGUAGUCUGCUCUUAUCAGUUUAAUAUCUGAUAGUCCUUUGUUUGGGAACUUUAUAUUAGACAGAUUUUUGGUGCUGGGAGAUGUGCUGGGAGCUAGCUCCAUAUAAUCUAUGGUAUUGCUGGUAUUGCAGUGCUUCUAGAAGUGGGAUAAAGUAGU
ensembl:snRNA U2 U2 spliceosomal RNA